CUGGCUUUGAUGUUUGCAUCUAUUCUGUGAGCCGUCUAGCUACACAACAAAGCAUACAUACUUACCAAAGAUACCACAGUUUACGGAUGAUCGAUCCAACGAUCCGACGAUCGAGUGACACAGGAGUCCCUCCAAUAACUCUUAAAUGCUUUGCAAGCAUUCACGAGUUAAAAAUGGCAUUUUCUACAAGGUCGAAUUAGUCCUAUCGUCGAGUUUCAGCAAUUUUGGGGAGCUGUAGAGGCAUCAACCCUUGUUUGCCAAUCUCAGUACUGCCAGUACCCAUGGCAGUGUUUUUACUGCAGAUUCAAUUGCAAACAAGGGUUGGAUUCCUGAUCGCCCUCAAUUGGGCAUCAACAGAAAACAGUUUGCCAUGGUAAGGCAUAA